AUUAUCAGGAAAGCCUCUGAUCAGAGUUAUCUUCUUUAUAUCUUAUGAGGAUUAUGGUUUUCCUUCUCAUUUCUUCAUCCUUAACUGCCAGAUAUGCUAUGAGAUUUCUGUUCCCAACCUUCUAAUAUGAAGCCUUUUGACCAGGACUUAAAAUUAAAUGGAAACAUGCACCUGUGAUACAGACAUAAAAGAAAUCCACUUAUUCAGGAGCCAGAAUCUGACCUAGUUUCCCUGUGUGGAUGAUGGGGAAGACAGGCUUUCCCACCAGUCCCAGAAGGAAGAUGGAAAAGAUAUGGACUAGAGCUGUCCCAGUAAAUGGGACCAAGCACCAUUCUAGAAGAGAACUUAGCCAACCUGGAGAUGAAAGAGUGUACCCAUUUGAGAUCCUAUAAGCUCAGAUAGGAUGAGUUAACCCUCUAAUUGUGUGGACUAUAACAAUGUAUUCUGUUU
rnacentral:lncRNA from 1 species